ensembl:snoRNA small nucleolar RNA SNORA33
AAGCCAGUCAAUAAGUCUGCUUACCUGAAUGUGUUCUGCAGAAAUUUAGAGAAAGCUGGCCAUAGUCAAGCCAUGUUACGAGCCUUAAAGACAUUGAAGUCGCUAAGGUCCCUGAAAAUGGCUAUAAGA